UUUAUUUCGAGCUUUAGUUGAUGCACAGUGACUUGGAAUGGUAGACACGAAUGCACACGAGCACGGCUCGAUUGUAAACGUGCACACGCUAACAUAUAAAGGGAUAGGAUUAUUUAGUGGUCAGUAAAGCGUAAUAAACCCAACGUUUCUACUUAUUAUAACGCUCGUGACGGAAGGACAAUAAAUAUCUUGAUUUUACUGUGCUACAUCGGUAUUAUUCAAUAUGUGUAUACAUGUGCGUGUCUUGUCUAUCUCUAUGUGUGUUUGUUCAUGCGCGCCAGUGUGCACAGAAUAAUACAUUUGCACCUGUUAAAAACGACCUAUCCGACGUCGCCGGUUAUAAAAGCAACUCUUAGGCGUCUAAAAGUCCGAUCGACAGAACAGCAAAUGUGUAUUUUAAAACGUGAAACUAUUGGGCAGGCUACCCUCAUGGACAUAUACCUCCUAACAUUAAAAACAUUAUGAUCUAUAAGAAAUUCAUUGACGUGACAAAUUAAAAUUCGAUGAUCAUUGAUGUCGAUGGACAAGAAAAAGAAAGAAAGAAAGAAGAAGAAGAAGAAGAAGAAGAAGAGGAAAAAAGAAAAAAGACAGAAAAGAGGGUAAGUUGCACAGGGCACCUGUUCAACCUGAUACAAAUCAUAAGUGAUAUAUAACUUGGCGCGUAGGAAAUGAUUAACGUGGUUAAAAAAAAAAAAAAAAAAAAAAAACAAGAAAAACAAGAAGAAAAAGGAAGAAAAAAUAGGUGGAAAAAAAGGGUACAUUUCCUGAACACGAGAUGGGAUAAGAUUCGCGUGAAAUACAUUUACGAGGAUAGCACGUGGUGGUCAUUUAUAAAAUGUUUAUGUAUCCCAAUCCAUCGCGCAAUUCCAGAACUAGUAAUAUAAGUUCUUCCCUCUCUUUCCUCUUCAUCUUCCCUUUAAGACUCCAUAAGCGAUAAAAAUUCGAUAAGUAUGUUAUCAGAUAAGUACGAUGGAAGAACGAUGGAAAAUAU